rnacentral:lncRNA from 1 species
GUAGCACCUCCUAAGAAGACAGAAACGCGUGUGUUCUCAUCCUAUCACCAUGGAACCUGUGCAGCUUCCCAGGAGACUUGGAGACCUGUUAUGCUGAGAUAAUAACUUCGCAGUGCUCUUCUAAGAGCUUUGCAGAGCGGAGCAGUGUAACCAUCAGACACCAGGAGGCUUCCUGGCCUUCUCAGUACAUCACGCAAUGGCAGCUUUUUGAAGAUCAGUAACAUGAAGUCUGUCCUAAAGAACAUUGAAGGUAUCCCUCCUGGAAAACAAUGCUAUUUUCUUAUGGUCCACAAGGAAAAGAAAGAAGGAAUUACAAGCAGUUCACAUCCCCAUCUCAAGCCAUAAAUCAAAAAGAUUAUUGAUCUCCCAGCACAUUCACUGAUAAAAGGAAAUACCAGCAACUCCAUGCAUCUGAGCAUACAACUUAUAUGGACUUCUAGCAAGUGAUCCCCUGGACUUAAAAACAUGUCUGAAUCCUGGCUGGGACAGUUUGGCUUUAAGUAGUACAUCAAAUUCAGAUCUUUUCAGGAAGGAAACUUCUGCCAUCAGUUGGCCAAUGCUGUUCCAUCAGUGAGUAUUCAGUGUCACUAACCAACAGAAUGACCAAGAAAUCAUUCCAGUCAGAAAAGGCCCAAGUACCAACGAUUGGACAGUCGUGAUUUAUAUUUGUGCCUGAUAUGACCAACAUAAGUCACACUGGUUAUGCAUGGAAAUGCAACCAUCAGCUGACAAGAACUGAAACUUAUGACUCAUGCUGUGUCAACUCUGAGCCAAAGCAGUCAGUCAACUCAAAGGGAGUAAACAUCAGUCAAACAGAUGAUUUGGCAGCCUAACUAUUUAACAACUGAUGAUGACUGGAAUUUUCACUUUUCCAUCAGUCACAUAGACUUGUCUCAGGAAGAGAAAUAACUGAAGUUUAGAGUAGUUUUCUUUUGAUUUUUCAUAAAAGUCAUUCAUCCCAAAACAUUUGCUGAAUG